rnacentral:lncRNA from 1 species
AUUCAGUCACUACAGAAUGCGACGAGAACAUAUAAAAAAAAUUACUGGGAAAACAGAUGCGUUUCUGCGCUUUUGAACGAUAAGAGGAAGGGCCACACGACUUGCAUUAACAGCAUCGUCCACUCACAUAAAUGCUUCACUGGAAGUGAAAACUAAACUAAAUUAACAGAUGCAACACCUUAGCUACUAACCCCUACUUACUUACUAGUUAAUAAUACAAACCCAGAGUUCCUAAAUUCUACGCAACAACAACUGAAUCCUGAUGCAAUACUAGUACUAUUUUACUACUAGAUUAAUACUUCAGCCAUGGGCUUCAAGGACAGGGCAGCAGGCCGCCAACGCCGCCGCCGGCCCCACCAAACCCACCGAUUCCUCCAUAGUGGAUUCCUCCGAGCACCGGAAACCCACCCACAACGCCAGCAUAGCCGCCCACCCCUGCGAAGACGCCGAGGAGGCCGCCGAUGCCCCCGCCGUAUAUGAAGUUUUUGUUGUCAUUGUGAUUCAUCCCAACGGCUCCAGCUGCUGGCGACUCCGCCGGCGUAAGAUCAAACCUCUGCUCGUUCUUGGCAUCCAAGCCGGCGGGCUUGGGCAUUGGCACCCAUGGGAUGCAGGGGAGAAAGGUCUUCUGGUCGGCGGUGGUUGGAAUGGGUCUUGCAUUUGAAAGCACGACUAGUGUGGCCAUGAAAAGGACGUAAAACAUCGCCAUUAUAAUAAUCGGCUAUCUCUCCUGCUCUUACAGUCUGGAUUGGUAAUCUGCUGCAUCGGUAAAGUUAGAUCAUGCGUAAAUAUAUAUAUAGGAAGGAAACGUGGGAGAAGAAGAGUUUGGUAGCGGUUGCGGAGGUUAUUAAAUAUAUCUGGACAGAGUUAUAUUAAUUGGGGUUUGCAUUGCAUGUAACCGGAUUCGUCCUUCUGGCCGGUGAAGAAGCUCAGAUGCUGCAAUUAUAUCCCUGCCGGCUGCCCUUCACCCUUGCAUGCAUUACUCGUAUAUGACAAAAAUGGAACUUGUAAUCAAGUCCAAUCUCCAAACCUCAAAUCUUACAACUGUGCUUCUCUUUGAUCUUGUUUUAACAUUAAAUCCCUUUAGAGUGCAUUUGGAUGGUAGAGAUGACGUGGUAGGUGGCAUAGACAAAUUUAU